AAAACAGCCCAAUAUGUUGAUCUUUUACUCUAUGAUUAGUGAUUUUUGUGUUCUGUUGAAGACACAAAUUUUUGAAGAGAAUCCCCUUUAUUUUCUUUCUAUUAGCAUUAUUAUUUUAACAUUCACAUUGGUCUGUCAUUAAUCUCAAAGUAUUUAUUUACAUGUGUGGUUUAAUAUGGUGGUCAUGGUUUCUGGGUUUGUUUUUGUUUUUGUUUUGCUUAUAGAUGUCCAAUUGAUACAGCACUAUUUAUUUCAAAAGGCAAUGCUUUUCUGAUGAAUUGCAGAGGUGUCUGUGCCACAAAGUAGGCAAUACCAAUGAGCAGACUUCACUUAUGUUCUGGAUAAAUAAAAGCCUACACAAGGAGCCUUGAACCAUAGGAUACCCACAACCAGUGCAGGGCAGUAACACAGCUUUGGCCAUGCACAUGGGGAAAGCACCCUUAACUGAUACUGUGAAGAAACAACAUAGAAGAAAACCGUGCCUUAUUUGACCUUGUAGAAUAUAAUCUGAUUGCUCAUCUCUAGACUACAAUGUGGGGAUUUGAGGAGAAUCAGAAAGACUAAAAAGUGGCAUAUCCAAGAUUGGACAUCCUGAUUGAGUCAAGAAAUGAUUGGAUUCAGAGUCUUGGAACCAGAUAAGGUAAACGAGAAAAAUAAAAGACAAUGGUUAGAAAGGAUAAUCUGCAACAGUGCAUGCAAAUGUCAAAUGUAAC
rnacentral:lncRNA from 1 species